ACGGGUGAGUAAUGCCUAGGAAUCUGCCUGGUAGUGGGGGACAACGUUUCGAAAGGAACGCUAAUACCGCAUACGUCCUACGGGAGAAAGCAGGGGACCUUCGGGCCUUGCGCUAUCAGAUGAGCCUAGGUCGGAUUAGCUAGUUGGUGGGGUAAUGGCUCACCAAGGCGACGAUCCGUAACUGGUCUGAGAGGAUGAUCAGUCACACUGGAACUGAGACACGGUCCAGACUCCUACGGGAGGCAGCAGUGGGGAAUAUUGGACAAUGGGCGAAAGCCUGAUCCAGCCAUGCCGCGUGUGUGAAGAAGGUCUUCGGAUUGUAAAGCACUUUAAGUUGGGAGGAAGGGCAGUAAGUUAAUACCUUGCUGUUUUGACGUUACCGACAGAAUAAGCACCGGCUAACUCUGUGCCAGCAGCCGCGGUAAUACAGAGGGUGCAAGCGUUAAUCGGAAUUACUGGGCGUAAAGCGCGCGUAGGUGGUUCGUUAAGUUGGAUGUGAAAGCCCCGGGCUCAACCUGGGAACUGCAUCCAAAACUGGCGAGCUAGAGUA
rnacentral:rRNA from 1 species